AAGAUACUAGUAUAAGAGAUAAUAUUCUGCCUUGUCGAGGCAGCGCUGUGGGUUUGAACCCCACGUACCUUA
rnacentral:tRNA from 1 species